rnacentral:lncRNA from 1 species
UGCGCCCAUGGUGGCAGCAGCUGUAGGAGAUGGGGAAGAGAUCCUGCUCUCUCUUUAUUUACUUGACAACCGCGGAUGGGGAGGAUGCGGGUGGGGUGAAUUACAUGGAGAAUGGAGUAGGCGGCGAGCUCCACAAAGGGGAUGAGGGGCGUGGGGCUGAAGGUAUGGUUCGCUACAGCGGUGGUGACACGGAACCUACCACGCCCACCGGAUCUCGGUUGUUGCUCUCUCUCGAUCUGUUCGAUACUCGGUUGUUUCUUUACUCUCCAUCCAGAUCCUGCAGAGGCGCCUUGGGCUGGUGAGGUCGCUGGUGUUGGCAACGAUGCUGCAGAUCGGGUCGCACCUCUUUGUCACCUGGAGCUUCCCCGAGGUUCCCGGUACUAUUGAUGGUGUCUCUUUCUGUUCUUAUUACUGCUGCACAAAGCUGUUGAGCUUGGUCGUUUUCCUUUCUUGGUUGUGUUUGCAGACCAGGACACACAUCGUGGUGACUUGGUCAGCUCCUUGGUCAUCAUCUGGUCCAUCACCGAGGUAUGUAUUCACCAUUGACUUCACUCAUAUCAUACGCUCCUUGAAAGCUAGGGACUACAGUUGUUCAUAAUAAAUGUAUUAUCAAGCCGCGAGGCGCUCCUGUUGAUGUGCACACUAGCUCGAGAUGUGUCCCUCAAUUAAUGCAAAUGCGAGUAUGCGAUGACGAUUUGACAUGUGUGUGUUGCUGCUUCAAAUUGAAUUUCUAGAUACUAAUGAGGAAUUUAACAAAGAAUUAUUAUAGCUUAAUUUACUAUACUUCACUAUUAUAUCAGGGGAGAUGUGGUUACAUCUUAAUUUACUAUGCUUCAAACUGUUUUCACGCUAUUGUAUGGUGCUUGCGAGACCUUGCCAUCUAAGGUUGCUCCAAAAUAACGGCUAGGCAACGCCUUAAACUAUGUGUUUGGUGAAACUUUUAAAUAGGAGAAUAUAGUGGAAACAUUGCAAUACCCACACACUUGUUCAGAAGUGUUUUGAAGCGUUGUAACCGGAGGCCAGUUUCAAGUAAAAUAAAAAAGGGAGUAUUGACAAUGUGUCUUCAGUAUGUUAUGUAGAAGGUAGUGUCCCACCUUUGUAUUUUCAUAUGGUUUGUUUACCACAGGCCAUCAGUUUUUGUAAUUUUGUGUGCUCGUUCUCUGAAAAUUAUUUCAUGUUAUUUGUACUCAGGUGCGUAACCUAACUACUCCCUCUGUCCCGCAAUUCUUAUCUGGACCACCACCAACCGGAGACGACGGGAACCGUAGCUGCUGCAACAACCUGUUAACCCGCCGGUGGCAGCAAGCUAAAGGCUCCCCCUUGCAAGGUCAAAGGAGAAGUACAACAGCGACAAUGUCCUGGAGCAGCACGGCGAUCUGGACGGGAAGGAGGGUAGCAGCAGGACGAGGGGCGCAACUAAGCCGUCUUGCUCUCUUCGGUCGACCCUCCAUGACGGACGCCACAAGAUCUUCUGUCUGCAGAAAGUGAAUUACUUGCUCAUCUAUUUAUUCUUUUGAAAUUGCAGCUGAAUUUUGUCAAACCUAGAGCGGGAUUUUGCAGCAAGAGAUAUCUCUGACAACCACUGUGCAAUCAUCUCAACGAUAAAAAUUUAGUGUAAAAUUUUGUCAAACUGAAUCUUUCUCAACAGAUUUAGUUAUUUUGCUAAAAAAUCAGUUUUGUAUCCUGCUCUGAAUAUAAAGUGUACUGCUUAUUGCAAGCAAGUUUAAAAUUUCAGUCUAAAAGUCAGUUAACUGAAUUUUGACACAAUAGUUAACUGAAUUUACUGUCAUCCCUAUCAAAUGCAGUUUAUCCGUUCGUCCUGCUUCUCACUUUCUUCUAUGUUUUCUAAGAAAAAAUUAACUUCCUUCUGUAGUUAUUCACAUGAUAUAUGUGCCAACUUCCUUUCGCAAAAUCUUGCCAUCUUGACCAACAUUUUGACAGGCUUACUGCUAAUCUAGGGCCACAUGAGACUUUGUUGGGUUAGUUAUUUUUCGCACCAACCAACAAUGCAUAGAAAUCUGCUAGAUUACCCAAGUCCAUAGCAAAGGAGGAAGAAAGUGAAAUGUGAGGCUGAUCAACUUAUCCAUCAGCUAGAUAACCCCAAGUGUAACUGGGUUCAGGGCCUGUACUUGCUUACCGAUGGAAAAGGACAAAUAAUUGGAUUGCUGUUUUCAACAAUGGGUGUUGAUGUUUGCAUGAUCAGUGUUAAUCCAAGGUAAUCAAAGUACUGAAUCACUCCUUUCUGGAGUAUUGUCAUUUAACAAUAAACUGAGUUACUGCCAUUUAAGAGUAAAUUGAAUUUAUCUUGAGUAUGCAGUAAACUUGCUAGAGUACAAAUUUAUGCAUUACUCCAUAUUUUCUGAAGUACUGUCAUUUACUCCAUACUCCAAAUUUAUGCAUUAUUCCUUGCUGGAGUAUUUUUAAAAUACUCCUAGUGUUAAAAUCGUCAUGUUGUAUAAACUUGGCAUCUUGUUGUUCACUAUAUUUCUUUUCACUGAUGCAUUUUCCAUGUUAUUUUAAUCUGACAUACCACAUUAAUUUCUUAUUCAACGAUGUUCUUAACUAUUUACAGGUUGUAACAAAAUUUCUCACUAUGGAGUCCUUGCUUGACGAGAGCGUUGACAAGGAGAUAAAUUUGCAGAUCGAAUGAGGUGGAACUCCUUUAACAGUAACGCUGAAGGUAGUUUGCAAGCUUGCCAUGUCUUGUUUAAUCUUCAUACCAGAGAGCAGUAUAUAUGAUCGAUUACUCCGUGUAAUAAUGCAUCUUUGACUUUGCAGAUCGAAAUGUAGGAACUAGUUAUUUUGGAAGAACUAGUUAUGUAGGAACAGUCUAUAUAAGGAUGUAUAUAGAUAUAUUUUAAAAUAUUUAUCUAUUUAUUUCGUUUCAUACGUACUCUGUAGUAAAAUCUUUAAAAGAUCUUAUAUUUAAAAACAAAGGAGGUUGAGUAUUGGUCAGAUGCUUAUAGUAGGCCUAAUUAAGUAGCCCAUUGUUUAUCACAUACAUGCAUGAACCUUUUGUUUGAGAAUCAUACGUGCAUGGAUGUUGCCCAGGUAAACCAAGACGCACGGUAGAAUCUUCCCACUGUUUAUCAUGUAUGUAAGCUGUCUCACAGACAUCGAGCCUGGGCAAGUGCCCGGGGUGGUCGGGCGCUGGCUCCGCCACUGCCUACUUUCAUUGUUCUUUUCUGAGCCGAAUAGCUUAUGCUCUCAGAGUAUCAGGAAAAGAAUAUGUAAUUGUUUCUAUGGUAUUUGGCCUUCAUGUAUAUUUCAUACCGUAUCUCCGUAUGCCUUCUUUCUUGUGCAGUAAACAUAAAAAUAUAUGCUACAUUAUAAUAUUCUGUACCAGGUGCACGCACACUUUGCAUGCAUUUUUACAUCAUGGUGAUUAGAAGCAGAAUAGACAAUUAUUCAGAGACGUAAAGAUUAGAAUAAAAAAGAUUCACAUGUAUUUUAUCUGUACCUUCAUUACUAGAAGUUGUAUGCUUUCUUAUGUUUGAUUAUUUGAAUUACCAGGAUGAUCUGAAGCACCCAAAAGAAGUAGAGGACAUGACGGGAGAAGGGAACAAGAAGCUUCGUUUAUCAUUGAUGUUAUGUUGUGCACUUGUUGGGCCUUGAACCUUUAUGUGUAGAGGAGUCGAUGAAUGAUGUAUUGUAAUUCAUGUGAUGUGUUACUGAAAUGAAAUAUAUACAACUAAUUUGCAAUAUUUUAUUCUUGUGUAUUUGUUUUUUAAUUGGUCUAUCCUGAGAUAUACAUGCUUUUAGUAAAAUAAUGCAUCAGCCUAAACAAUUUAUACAUUUUUAAUAAUAAAAUAGUAUUAGUGGAGGCCCAUGUAGACUAGAUUAUUGAAUUGGGCUGUGAAAUUUAUGAUGAUUUCAUUUGGUCACUAGCAAAGCCAUGUCAGCAUAGCCACGUCAGAUCCUACGUGGCUCACACAAAUAGGUAAUGACCAAACCAAAAUUUUGGUCAAUAGAGAUCUAUGACCAAAUUUUUCGAAAGGUCAAGUUUGUUCAUUCUUGACGGCCAACUUUUGACCUUGUAAAUUUGGUCAAAAAAAGGUCAAUAAACAACAACAAUGACGAAUCAAUGACCAAUAUAGGGAGUCAUAAUUGACCUUAUUUCUUGUAGUGACCUCACAUGCUCAGCUCAAAUCAAAAAAAGAAAUGCUUAUGUUUCUGCACAAUUCGCUCAAUUGCAUCGGCAUUGCUAAAUCAGGUGUAUGUGUUAACAUUGUGUUUUAAUCGAGCUAAUCACAUGGAAGAUGGAUAGACCAACACAUUAUCAAACUUGUUGGCGUCAAGCUCACCAGGUAGCCUCUGAAGGUGGCCUGGAUCCUCGCGGUCGCGGCCUCCUGGAAAGGGGUGGCAUACAGGUUGAGGUCAUCCUCUGCCUCGGGGGGCGUCAGGCGUAUCACUGCCGCAUCGGCGGCCGCCAUGGCCACCGCCACGGCGUGCUUGCUCUGCUCAAGUUCGUGCUCCGCCACCGCCACCGCCACCGACACCGACAGACCGCCAGGUUCCAGGGCCAACGACGACGGUGCGGCGACGAUCUUGACCGGCGGCGCAGGCCUCCGGAAGCUCCAUCGCCUCUUCUCCCUCAGGUUGGCAGCCACCGGCAGCUCGGCCAAAGGCGUCGAGUCACACCGUGACUGCCCCCACUUGUCCCCUCUCCGGCCACCACCCUUCUUCCCGGCCAAGAUGCUCCUCAGCCACCUCCCGGCCUUCCCCAUUGUCGGCACCUUUGAUGAACCGCCCUCAGCCACAACAAAGCCGACAGACUCAUGAACUAUAUUAUAGCCCCCGGCAACAAAUUAAGAACCCUAUGCAUUGCAAGCGCCAUCACGAACCCGCCAACCACCCCGGCCGCGCCGCGCGAGCUUGGAACAGUAAUACAACGUGUCAGUCAUCCGACGCGGGCCGCCGAGCAAUGGCAUAGCGAAGGAGCACGAGCUCGCGGCGCGGUGGCGCCCGCUCCCCACUUCCAUCUCCCUCCUCUCUCUCUCCUCCUCGCCGCCGCCACAUGCCACCGCUACGGGAGCGCACAGAGGCGAAAGAGCGGCGAGAGGAGCNUUUGAUUAUUUGAAUUACCAGGAUGAUCUGAAGCACCCAAAAGAAGUAGAGGACAUGACGGGAGAAGGGAACAAGAAGCUUCGUUUAUCAUUGAUGUUAUGUUGUGCACUUGUUGGGCCUUGAACCUUUAUGUGUAGAGGAGUCGAUGAAUGAUGUAUUGUAAUUCAUGUGAUGUGUUACUGAAAUGAAAUAUAUACAACUAAUUUGCAAUAUUUUAUUCUUGUGUAUUUGUUUUUUAAUUGGUCUAUCCUGAGAUAUACAUGCUUUUAGUAAAAUAAUGC